AGCUAAAAAUACAUCAUGGUCAAGUUACAGAAAAUCGACUCGUGCUGCUGUGUGCCCGCGUCCUUCUACUAAGCGCUAGAAUGAAACCGAUGAUUCAGCCAGUCUUUACUUUGAUAUUAAGAGGUCGCCUCAUCCGAGACAUUUUAUUCGGAAAAUGAUAUCAACUCUCCUCUGCGUGAAACGUAACACAUUGUUGAUAUAAUACACCUUUGGAAAAACAGCUGACAAUCCCCAGGAGCUAUGGCAGAAACUAUGGCAGAAACUAUUGCGCGCACGCACGUGUACAGCACCUGCAGCCUGGAGAGCCCGCGCUGGUUUGGGGAGAGCCCUGUCCCGGGCAGGGCGCGCGCAGAGGCGUUCCUUCAGCAGGGCUACACAACAGCAAAGCCACGGAGCCUCAAGCAGCCACGGCAGCACUGUGUUACCCGGAGGGUUUGGAAUCCAGCCCACGCGGCAGACUCGGAAGAGAGCGAUAACAGUACCACUUUUUGACUCCGUCUGCUCAUAAUACCGAAGGUUUUUAGAAAUGUGAACUGCUGUGCCGGACCCCUUUACUGCACUUUCCAGACUUAUCACCACCUCAAGAUAGCCCCGAUGCUUACGUGUAGACUACAUUUGGUUCACGGGCAACAUUGUUGCAGAUGGAUAUAAAACGACUAUCCAACAAGUGAAACCAGAAAGGUUUUUUCUCGCGAUUAAUUCUCGUGAUUAACCUCGACAUGGACGGAGCACGAACUGAGAACCCGGGGGAGCCUAUCAACAGCAGCGUGGAAGAGGAGAACUACCGAGCUCUCGUCUACGACACGGCACUCAGCACUUUCCUGGCGGUGGUAGUGUACGUGGUAGUCAAAGUAGGCUUAGAUCGGAUUAGACAAUGGCGAGCUCGGAUAUCGGUUCUGAUCGUGGGUUCCGGUCCUGUUGGUCUGACCGCCGCGUUGGUCGCUGUUCGCUCGGGAAAGGUGCUGAAACUCACGGUAUUGGAUGAGCGCUACAGGACCGCACUGCUGUGCAGACCGCAGCAGAUCGCACUGGACCCCCGCAGCGUCAGGUUCCUGUUAGGCUUGGGAGUGGACUUUGAUAACAUGGAGGGGUGCUGGCACAACGACCACUUCUUCACUAAAAUCGGCGUGUUCCAGGAGUAUCUCCUCAGCAUUUUGGAGCAAAAGAAACAAAAGAUCGAUGUUAAAGUUCACUUGGGAACAAAGUUCUCGGAGGACUACCUGCGGCGGAUCCCGUGUGGGCAGUGGCCGCGGGUGAUUGUGGUAGCGGACGGCUCUUGUGGAGACUCCUGCUCCGUGCUGGGCAUCAGCUCUGACUACAUCGUGGAGUCCUGCCACGCCUACGGAGCCAAUGCCACCAUUGAGAGGCUGGACCAGCGGCAGGUCCCCACCCCUGAGAUCAAGGCUCACAACCUGUACUUUGACCUCUCUGCGUACGGGGACGUCCUGAAGGAGCCGCGGAGCUCCAGCCACACCACAGCCAAACCAGGCUUCCAUCUCAAGAUCUAUGGAACAUUCCGGAACCGCUACAUGGCACUGGCCUGCACGGCGGCCGACAGCAAGAUGCUGCGCUUCCUGCGUCACACAAGUAACUCCUCGAUCAUGAAGAACAUCUUCCACCAGUCGUUUAACGCAUAUAAGAUGGACAUCGAGCCGCGGCUGAGCGAGGUCACCCUGCACCGCAUGCAGUGCAGCAGGAAGCUGUUUGAGGUCAUGCUGUCGCAGCGGCGCGUCAACGCAGCCUACAUCGAGGGCGACAACGUGGCUGUGACUGUGGAGGGGGAAGCAGCGCGCGUGCUGAACUUUGACACAGGCUGCGGUGUGAACCUGGGCAUGAGGGGCCUGGAGGCCUUGGGGACGUUCAUCUACAGCACGGCCACGGCUCAGGACCAGAACGACGUCUUCGAUGCGCUCGCCGCCAAGAUCCAGCACUCCAAACAGGUGGCUGAAACUUUCCGACAAACAGGGCUGCCUUCAACCAUGUUCGAAUGAUGUGUGUGAAAUCUCUCUCUGUGUGUGUGUGUGUGUGUGUGUGUGUGUGUGUGUGUGUGUGUCUGUGUUUGCAAGGGAAGAUAAGAGACACAGAAGGCGUUGUAAAAGAAGGGUGGCCCAAGGUCUGAUGGGAAAUUGUAUUGUGACUGCCACUUUGGCCUUUGUUUUUGGUUGGUGUACCUCGUGCCAAACACAUACCAAACCUCUGUAUUGUAAAUGUGUUGGUUCUUUGUUUCAAAAUCUUUGAUAUUGUUUUGACACAUACAGUUAUUGUACCACUGAAUAAUUUUGACCAGGUAAAGUGAAUGUAAUUGAGGCUUGUCAGCUCUGUUUGCUGACACUAAUAAAUGCAGUUUGUCAGUGCCA
rnacentral:lncRNA from 1 species